rnacentral:rRNA from 1 species
UUGGAGGGCAAGUCUGGUGCCAGCAGCCGCGGUAAUUCCAGCUCCAAUAGCGUAUAUUAAAGUUGUUACAGUUAAAAAGCUCGUAGUUGAAUUUCGGGAUUAGUACGUCGGUCGUGCCUUAGGUACGUACUGGUGUUACUGGUUCCUACCUUCUGACGAACCAUCAUGUCAUUAAUUUGGUGUGGUGGGGAAUCAGGACUGUUACUUUGAAAAAAUUAGAGUGUUUAAAGCAGGCUCGCGCUUGAAUACAUUAGCAUGGAAUAAUGAAAUAGGACGUUG